AUUGAACGCUGGCGGCAUGCCUUACACAUGCAAGUCGAACGGUAACGGGCCUUCGGGUGCCGACGAGUGGCGAACGGGUGAGUAAUGCAUCGGAACGUACCUUUCAGUGGGGGAUAACGUAGCGCAAGUUACGCUAAUACCGCAUAUUCUGUGGGCAGGAAAGCAGGGGAUCGCAAGACCUUGCGCUGAUUGAGCGGCCGAUGUCAGAUUAGCUAGUUGGUGAGGUAAAGGCUCACCAAGGCGACGAUCUGUAGCGGGUCUGAGAGGAUGAUCCGCCACACUGGAACGUAGACACGGUCCAGACUCCUGCGGGGGGCAGCAGUGGGGAAUUUUGCACAAUGGGGGCAACCCUGAUCCAGCCAUGCCGCGUGAGUGAAGAAGGCCUUCGGGUUGUAAAGCUCUUUCGGCCGGGAAGAAAUCGUAUGGGCUAAUACCCUGUGCGGAUGACGGUACCGGCAUAAGAAGCACCGGCUAACUACGUGCCAGCCGCCGCGGUAAUAC
rnacentral:rRNA from 1 species